AUUGAACGCUGGCGGCAGGCUUAACACAUGCAAGUCGAACGAGUGGCGGACGGGUGAGUAAUGUUUGGGAAACUGGCUUAUGGAGGGGGAUAACUACUGGAAACUGUAGCUAAUACCGCAUACCAUCGGAUGUGCCCAGAUGGGAUUAGCUAGUGGGUGGGGUAAAGGCUCACCAAGGCGACGAUCUCUAGCUGGUCUGAGAGGAUGACCAGCCACACUGGGACUGAGACACGGCCCAGACUCCUACGGGAGGCAGCAGUGGGGAAUAUUGCGCAAUGGGGGCAACCCUGACGCAGCCAUGCCGCGUGAAUGAAGAAGGCCUUCGGGUUGUAAAGUACUUUCGGCAGGGAGGCGUUACCUACAGAAGAAGCACCGGCUAACUCCGUGCCAGCAGCCGCGGUAAUAC
rnacentral:rRNA from 1 species